GCAGUUCGUUAGACGAUCGCUUGUUUUACGACAAGAGGAAAGUCCGGGCAGCAUAGGAUAAUGACAGUCGCUAACGGCGACCGGGGGUAACCCUAGGGAAAGUGCCACAGAAACAAUACCGCCUCGCGAAUGCAGUGUAGUUUGGUGAAAGCUCGACUACUACUGAGAGGUAAGGGUGAAAUGAGUGGGGUAAGAGCCCACAGCGUCAUAUGGUGACAUAUGGAGAAGGUAAACCCUGUCGGCUGCAAGGAGGUCAGCAUAAAAGAGUGGUCCGCUCGCUGGCCGAUACCCGCUGGAGUGUAUCAGCAAUGGUACAAGUAGAUAGAUGGUCGUCCUCGACAAAACCCGGCUUACAGGCUGGCUGCUCAU
rnacentral:RNase_P_RNA from 1 species